UGCCAGCCUCCUCGGUAAUACUGCGUGUGCGAUCGUGAAUCGGAAGCACUGGGCGUAAAGCGUACGUAGGCGGCGUAUCCAGUCAGGCGUGAAAGCCCUCGGCUCAACCGAGGAAUUGCGUUUGAAACUGGUAUGCUAGAGUCUCGGAGAGGUUGGCGGAAUUCCAGGUGUAGGAGUGAAAUCCGUAGAUAUCUGGAGGAACACCGGUGGCGAAGGCGGCCAACUGGACGAGUACUGACGCUGAGGUACGAAAGCGUGGGGAGCAAACAGGAUUAGAUG
rnacentral:rRNA from 1 species